CUGGAACCUUUGGUUAGGGAUCGGCUCGGCUGAAAUACAUGAGCAACCCAGUUUAAAUAUUAACGGUUUGACUCGGCGUAAUAAUUAUUUCGCUGAGGACGUUUCACAUUAAGAUAGUGGUGCUACUAAUGCGGCAAUGUUGAUUCAUUACCAUUUAAGCUUUAGACCUCAAAUCAGUCAGGACUACCCGCUGAACUUAA
rnacentral:misc_RNA from 1 species